rnacentral:rRNA from 1 species
AUGUGCUGCUUCUAUUCGUCCUCAGGACAAUUAUUGACCAUUUGACCUCAAAUCAGGUAGGACUACCCGCUGAACUUAAGCAUAUCAAUAAGCGGAGG